CACGCCCCAUCGCAGCCGCCGCCACGCUCCCGUCCUCUCCCUUCGCCGUUCUCUCCAGCUAUCUCGCUCGCCGACACUGCUCUCCUCGGUGAGCUCGCUCGCCGCCGCCGCAUCAUCUCCUCCCCCUCGCCAACACCGCAUACCUUCUCCCCUUCUCCUCCUCUGCCCAGCCGUGUGACUCGUGCCGGCAAGAUCCAUCCUAGCGGCCGAGAUCCAGUUCGCCCUUCCCGAGCUCGACGAGAAGGGGGUGCGCGACCAUCGCUCCCCGUGUGGUGAGGGACGAAGGAGCUGCACGCUGCGACGAGGUCAUCUCGUGUUGGCUGAUGGAGGGUGGCCAUCUGUGUGCAGCACGCUUCAUUCUACGGCGCCAACCGCCACCACCAUGCUCCUUUGAAGCGCUUGGAGCAAGGUGCAGCUUACGGCUGUCGUUGUUUCUCAUGUUUAUUUCCGGUCUUGGCUGUUGGUGGCUGGUGGCUGUUCUCAUACAAGGUAAAAUGAAGUUCCCAACACCUGCAUAUUUGUGCCCAGAGGGAUUUGUUUAUUUGGAAGAAUGGAGG